UACAGAGGUCUCAAGCGUUGUUCGGAUUCAUUGGGCGUAAAGGGUGCGUAGGCGGCGCGGUAAGUCGGGUGUGAAAUCUCGGAGCUUUAACUCCGAAACUGCAUUCGAUACUGCCGUGCUUGAGGACUGGAGAGGAGACUGGAAUUUACGGUGUAGCGGUGAAAAUGCGUAGAUAUCGUAAGGAAGACCAGUGGCGAAGGCGGGUCUCUGGACAGUUCCUGACGCUGAGGCACGAAGGUCAGGGGGAGCAAAACGGGG
rnacentral:rRNA from 1 species